GGUGAGUAACACGUGGGUGAUCUGCCCUGCACUUCGGGAUAAGCCUGGGAAACUGGGUCUAAUACCGGAUAUGACCUCCUAUCGCAUGGUGGGUGGUGGAAAGAUUUAUCGGUGCAGGAUGGGCCCGCGGCCUAUCAGCUUGUUGGUGGGGUAAUGGCCUACCAAGGCGACGACGGGUAGCCGACCUGAGAGGGUGACCGGCCACACUGGGACUGAGACACGGCCCAGACUCCUACGGGAGGCAGCAGUGGGGAAUAUUGCACAAUGGGCGAAAGCCUGAUGCAGCGACGCCGCGUGAGGGAUGACGGCCUUCGGGUUGUAAACCUCUUUCAGCAGGGACGAAGCGCAAGUGACGGUACCUGCAGAAGAAGCACCGGCUAACUACGUGCCAGCAGCCGCGGUAAUACGUAGGGUGCAAGCGUUGUCCGGAAUUACUGGGCGUAAAGAGUUCGUAGGCGGUUUGUCGCGUCGUUUGUGAAAACCAGCAGCUCAACUGCUGGCUUGCAGGCGAUACGGGCAGACUUGAGUACUGCAGGGGAGACUGGAAUUCCUGGUGUAGCGGUGAAAUGCGCAGAUAUCAGGAGGAACACCGGUGGCGAAGGCGGGUCUCUGGGCAGUAACUGACGCUGAGGAACGAAAGCGUGGGUAGCGAACAGGAUUAGAUACCCUGGUAGUCCACGCCGUAAACGGUGGGCGCUAGGUGUGGGUUCCUUCCACGGAAUCCGUGCCGUAGCUAACGCAUUAAGCGCCCCGCCUGGGGAGUACGG
rnacentral:rRNA from 1 species